AUCAUGGUCCCUCCGUUCCAAAUUACUUGUCGCAGGUAUGGAUGUAUGUAGAUGUAUUUUAGUUUUAGAUGCAUCCAUUUCCGCGAAGAGUAAUUUGGAACGGAGGGAGUAGGGA
rnacentral:pre_miRNA from 1 species